rnacentral:rRNA from 1 species
UACGAAGGGGGCUAGCGUUGCUCGGAAUCACUGGGCGUAAAGGGUGCGUAGGCGGGUCUUUAAGUCAGGGGUGAAAUCCUGGAGCUCAACUCCAGAACUGCCUUUGAUACUGAGGAUCUUGAGUUCGGGAGAGGUGAGUGGAACUGCGAGUGUAGAGGUGAAAUUCGUAGAUAUUCGCAAGAACACCAGUGGCGAAGGCGGCUCACUGGCCCAAUACUGACGCUGAGGCACGAAAGCGUGGGGAGCAAACAGG